ensembl:lncRNA ZPLD2P zona pellucida like domain containing 2, pseudogene
UGGGGUCUUGGGCAAAGUCCUCGCCUGGCCGGCUUCGCUACCCUUGUGCUUGCGUUGCCCACAAGCUUGUAGUCAGAAGAACUCGCCUGGGAGGGAUCGCUCCUGGGAGAUCCGAACGCGGGAGGGCCUGGAGCGCGGCGGCAGCUGGAUAGCAUUCGGGCCCAUCCGAAUAAGCGGUUGGCCGGGCACGGUGGCUCACACCUGUAAUCCCAGCACUUUGGGAGGCCGAGGCGGGCGGAUCAUGAAGUCAGGAGAUCGAGACCAUCCUAGCUAACACGGUGAAACCCCGUCUCUACUAAAAACACAAAAAAUUUGCCGGGCGUGGUGGCGGGAGCCUGUAGUCUCAGUUACUCAGGAGGCUGAGACAGGAGAAUGGCAUGAACCCGGGAGGCAGAGGUUGCAGUGAGCCGAGAUCGCGCCACUGCACUCCAGCCUGGGUGACAGAGCGAGACUCCAUCUCAAAAAAAAUAAAUAAAUAAAAAUAAAAAAAAUAAAAAAUAAAAAAUUCAUUUGCAGGAA